rnacentral:misc_RNA from 1 species
GAUGAAGAACGCAGCGAAAUGCGAUAAGUAGUGUGAAUUGCAGAAUUCAGUGAAUCAUCGAAUCUUUGAACGCACAUUGCGCCCCUUGGUAUUCCGAGGGGCAUGCCUGUUCGAGCGUCAUUAUAACCCUCAAGCUCAGCUUGGUGUUGGGGCCUGCUGCAGUGGCAGCCCUUAAAAUCAGUGGCGGCGCCAUCUGGCUCUAAGCGUAGUAAUUCUUCUCGCUAUGGAGUCCUGGUGGAUGCUUGCCAUCAACCCCCAAUUUUUCUAUGGUUGACCUCGGAUCAGGUAGGGAUACCCGCUGAACUUAAGCAUAUCAAUAAGCGAGGA